rnacentral:rRNA from 1 species
GUAGGGUAUUGGCUUACCGUGGCAGUGACGGUUAACGGGGGAUUAGGGUUCGAUUCCGGAGAGGGAGCCUGAGAAACGGCUACCACAUCUAAGGAAGGCAGCAGGCGCGCAAAUUACCCAAUCCUAACAGCAUAAGGGAGGUAGUGACAAGAAAUAACAAUACAAGGCAAUUAAAAUGCUUUGUAAUUGGAAUGAUAGAAAUUUAAACACUUUCUAAAGUAUCAAUUGGAGGGCAAGUCUGGUGCCAGCAGCCGCGGUAAUUCCAGCUCCAAUAGCGUAUAUUAAAGUUGUUGCAGUUAAAAAGCUCGUAGUUGGAUUUCUGUUAAAAAUAACCGGUCUGCUUUUUAAUUGAAGUGGUACCUUGGUGUGUUUUUAGCAUUAAUGUCCUAUGAAGUGUUUUUUACUUUAUUGUUAAAAGCAAUAUUCAGGAUUUUUACUUUGAGAAAAUUAGAGUGUUUCAAGCAGGCUAACGUUUUGAAUACUGCAGCAUGGAAUAAUAAAAUAGGAUUUUGGUUCUACAUUAUUGGUUUUAAGAACUAAAUUAAUGAUUAAUAGGGACAGUUGGGGGCAUUUGUAUUUGACU